UACGUAGGACGCAAGCGUUGUCCGGAAUCACUGGGCGUAAAGCGCGUGUAGGCGGACCUGCAAGUCUGCUGUGAAAGCCCUCGGCUUAACUGGGGGAGGUCGGUGGAAACUGCAGGUCUGGAGGCCGGUAGAGGGGGGUGGAAUUCCCGGUGUAGUGGUGAAAUGCGUAGAGAUCGGGAGGAACACCUGUGGCGAAGGCGGCCCCCUGGGCCGCGCCUGACGCUGAGACGCGAAAGCGCGGGGAGCGAACGGG
rnacentral:rRNA from 1 species